AUUGCAUAUAUAGCCCCCCCACGCUGUUUUACACUAUUGUAAUAUUUAUUACUCGGGUUCGUAUCAUUCGUAUCGUGUUCGCUGUUGUCUGCUUGACGUCCCUACUUCCUACAGAUUGUUAAUAAUUGUAUUGCAUCAACCGUAUACUCUUGUUUUCAUUGUUUAAAUUGUAAUACAAUGAGUGAUUGUGAUUUUUCAACCGAAGUCGAUCACGUUGCAGAUUUAGAAGAACCAAUUUUACCCAGGCCAAAUUAUCAAAAAUAUUUUUAAGUAUUAAGAGUCAUUGAGGAUAAUUUUUUUUUACAAGAAGCUGAAAGUGAAGUGCUUAAGUCGUGUCGAUACAAGGUGGAUUCACGUUCAAACUCUAAUAUAAGAAAACAUUUAAGCGUAGAUAAGUACAAUGUUAAUUUCAUACCUGCCUAUAGCCUAUGACAGUUGACCCAUCUAAUAUCUUGUGUGUUGAAUUAAUUUUAAAUAUUACAAAAAUACAUCAAAAACAGUGGCGCACAGUUUUUUAAAAGUCAAAUUUCAAGUGCUUAAGAUGUAUAAUAGAUCUCAUUAUUCUAUAUUAUAAAUUUUCCUGGGCCCCACACGAGUCAUCUCAGAGGGGCCCAGUAUUCUUGUGUAUAUGAAAUAAAAUAAAAUAAAUAACCCCUUCCCCCCUCAAAAGUAAAUCCCAGUUGCGCCACUUAUCAAAAAAUGUAAAUUAUUUAUCAAAACUUAUAAUGUUAAGUAAAAGGUUAUAUUAUUUCAUUUUAUUCAGACACAACAUUCAACUAUAUUAAAGAAAAUUGAUUACGUUGAUAAUGCAGCGAACAAAAACACUUUAAAGAGAUGCAAUGAUGGAUCAUUGAAGCAUAAUGCUGGUAGUUCUUUAAAACAAUCACAUAAAAACAACCAGUUUUAUAAGAUUUUUUGAACAGCAAAAGAUUAACUAGUCAAAUUUUUAGUUGCAGCAUUAACAAAAGUAGUUGAUAUUUACAUGACUACAUGACUAUAUACUGAUACAUCGCUAGUGAAUAACACGGUUGUUGAUGAUUUAGAAUGAAUCGACGCAAUCAACUUGUACAUUCUUAAUGAUGAAGAUCAUGAUUUGCAAUAUGCACUACCAAAACACCACCGAUGUUGUGCACACACAAUAAAUUUAAUAGCAACAAUGGUUACAGCCAGAAGACAUGAAGGAGAAGCCGCCCACUGGCAACACUUCAGGAAUCUAAAAAAGCUUUGUCUAAUCUUGCAUACAAAAAACAGUCGAGAAGAACUUUUGCCAAGUCUACCGCUUUGUGAAUCAAACAAGGUCGCUCAACUAAGUCAUCUGAUUUAUUUAAACAAAAUCUUGGAGUUUAUUUAAUUACACCCAACGAGACACAUUGUAAUUCACUGUAUGAUGCAGUGGUGCUGCUUAUUAAAUUAAUUAAAAAUAAUGAACUUAUGUUUAGAAUAAUAAUAGACUAAUUGGCUAUUGGCAGGUUUAAUAGAAGUGAUAUUGAUUUCAUGUGUCAAUAUCAAACAAUUAUGGGGCCAAUUUCAAUAAGCUUAGAUUUACUCCAGGGUGAUACUAACAUGUACUUUGGUCAUCUCCUAUCUACAAUUGAAGUAUUAAUUUAUAAAUAUGAAUUUAUGACAAGUGAUCAAACAGUUUCUAAUUACCAAUAUGAAACUUCUGGUGACUGCCAUACUUAAUGGUAUAAAAACUAGGUGUGCUGAUUAUUUGAUUGACAAAUCUUUAACUACUGCUGCAGUCUACCACCCACUAUUUAAAAAAGCAUGGAUUGCAAAUGAUAUAAAAAAGCAAUUGGUCUCUGAAUAUUUAAAAAGUCCUUUUAUGACUUACAUACCAGUGAUGAUGACAAUAAUGAUGUAGAAGAUAAUCAAAUGAAAGAUAAUUUAUUUACCUUUUUUACAGGGUCACAAAAUUCCCGAGAGGAAAAAUCAACAAUUAGUGAUGAAAUAGAUAUAUUUAGAUUUCCAACAGAGACUUAAGAAUUUUUGUAUAAUUCACCCACUAUCAAAAAAUUUUCAGGUAUUUGUGAAGUACAACACUCCACUACCUAGCAGUGCAUCAGUAAAGAGAGUGUUUAGUGUUGGUGGUGCAACAAUUACAAAAAAAAGAACAAAUAUGACGGAUCAGGAAUUUGAACAAAUAAUGUUCUCAAAAUGCAACACUCAAAUGUUUGAUUAAUAUAAUAUAUUAUGAAUGAUUCAGAAUUAAA